UACGUAGGGUGCGAGCGUUAAUCGGAAUUACUGGGCGUACAGCGUGCGCAGGCGGUGAUGUAAGACAGAUGUGAAAUCCCCGGGCUCAACCUGGGAACUGCAUUUGUGACUGCAUCGCUGGAGUGCGGCAGAGGGGGAUGGAAUUCCGCGUGUAGCAGUGAAAUGCGUAGAUAUGCGGAGGAACACCGAUGGCGAAGGCAAUCCCCUGGGCCUGCACUGACGCUCAUGCACGAAAGCGUGGGGAGCAAACAGG
rnacentral:rRNA from 1 species